UGGAACCCCUGCAACCUUUCAAGUAGUUUGUCGCGCAUCAACUCAGUGAACCACCACACAAGCAUUGGCAACGCGUGGCUUCCACCAAGACCGCACCGGUGCCCCUCCGCUGGCCGACUUCCGAACUUGCCGCAGAACCCUGCUGCCAGCUCGCUGCAUCCCACCGCUCCUCCCCUGAGAGCUGGCCCAGGCCACCUCCGUCCCGCCACCCGCCGGCCUCCUUGCCAUGUUCGGCCAAAGGAGAACCCGGGACUAGACAACCUUCUCCUGCUGACCAGCAGUCAUCUCAACCCAACCGAAACUCCCCACAAAGAAGGGGAGGAGCUCAAGAAGGGAGAGGGUGCUGACCGGCAACGAGGAAGACGACGCACCGCCGCCAGCUCUCUUUGCACAACCGCUUCUCCCCACUGGCACCGGACCUGCAACGCCGAAUCCAGCCACCACUCGAGGUCUCCAACGCCACCACCGUCAAGUGUCCCAGCCGCUCGCCCGCUGCGCCUCCUAGUCGCUGGCAGCGGAAGCCAAGGCGUGAGGCGCCGCCGAUGCCACCGGCUGUGGCAGCCUCGGGGCGUCCCUCCACCGUCCGGCAGCCAUGGUGGCCGCGAACUGCUCCGGCUAGAUCCGCCUGCAGCGGCGUCCACACCGGUGCUCCCACCGCCACCCAGUCCCGGCCGCCGUGAUAGCGCCGACGCCCCUCCGGCCGCUGCGGCAACGCCAGCGAAACCACCGCCGCAGCCGCUCUGCCGCCGAGCCCACAAGGCCCCGAGCCGCCGCGCCCUCGCCGUCGCGUCGUCGCGCCGCCGUACCGGCCAGAUCCAACCUCAGAGGCGCCGGAUUCGCUGCCUCCCCACGUCGGCCCGCUGUCUUCGCCUUCGGCCGCUGAGGUCGCCGUCGUCGGCUAUGCCCCAUCCUCUCCACGCUGAGUUGGUGGCCUCCGAGCUUGAAAGGCCUCUCUGCCGCAUUCCCAGCUUGCCGCCGGCGAGCUCUAGCGACGGCGAGGAGGAGGAGGGGGCGGGGUUGCGGCAGCGCGGGUGGCUAGGGUUUUCGCCCCCCGAGCCGCCCGCGCGAGAGCGACGCGGGGAAAGACUUCUCAUUAGCACACUUUUCAAACUACUAAAUAAGUAGUACAUUUUGU
rnacentral:lncRNA from 1 species